CCAGCCCCUAUAAAUAGACAUCGAAAUUCUAGUGCAAUUUCAUUCCAUCACGUCUAAUCUUGAUCAAAUAUUUAAGUUAUAGGACAAAAAUGGGUUCCAAAACAAAUGUUUUCCUCGGCCUUUUUCUGGUCAUUUUCCUUGUGAUCAUGUCCUCGGAGGUGACAGCCAACAGGGAUUUGGUUGAGAUUUCCACUACUGAGAAAGCUAAUACUGACCAAAGAGGAGGUAACUGUCGUUACAAUUGCUGCCCGGGUUAUGGUUUUGGUGGGGGGUGCACCAGGUGUUGCUCUCUUCUGGGUGAGCCCGAGGAAAUAGAAAACUGAUGGACUGAAGCCAUCCAUGCCUCACAACUGGAUCAGAAAUUAAAGCCAAUCUACGUAGUACUAUGCAAUGUAGAAAAGUAUGAAUAAAAAAAGCAUGAGUUGAGGAGGUGAUCCGGUCAUGCCCUUUUUAAUUAUAGUAGUUAGUUCUCCUAUGGGAGAACUAUGUAUGGUGUAAUAUCUCUCGUGUAUCUUUCUCCUAUGGGAGAACUAUGUAUGGUGUAAUAUCUCUCGUGUAUCUGUUUUUCAAGUUGUGAUGGCCGGUUUAAAUAAUAAGUGAUUGUGUCUUAAACCACUUUAAA